CAUAAUGAAAUCGGCAAUCUUCGACAAUUACCGCCAUAUCUCGCCAUUUAUCGUAACGAACUUCGUUUGUUUACGUAUAAAGUCGGAAUUCUAAUAAUAGCGAAUAUCCCCGGUCACGUGGUAGUAUUCCCCAAGAAAAUGACGUAAUUUCCGCAGAUAUCUAACAUGGCGUCUUACAGCGUGAUCAAUACGCUCGGUCGAUUCAAAAAAAGUGUAAAAAGAUGCAGAAAACUCAAGUAUUCCGACUUAAUUAUAGCACAUAACUAUAGUGCAGGUAACCAGUAUUACGUGUCAACCAAACCAGCUCUACAAGACAUCAACUCUUCCUAAAUCGGUUGAUAAUGAGGGUUGGAAAGAGGGAAGAAGAAUCGUUGAGUUUGGCGUGUUACGGUCAAACCUAAGAUUUUGUAAAAAAUGUAGACUUGUUUAUCUAUUUUUUGGACCAGUUGGCUACCAUUAACAGCACUGAUUAACUUUUGACAACAUGUUAGGUGAAUUUAAACAGGGAGUGUCUGGUUAUUUGUAUGUGAAAUGUCGAAACACAGAAUGCGGUCAUGUGAAUUGUGUUCCCUAUGGAAAAACACACAGACUCUAGUAGAUUGAAGACCUGUGAAAGUUGGAAUGCCAUGGUUCGUUGUCAACACAAAAUUAGGAACAGCAAUGAUUGAUAGUGUAGGUGGGCCGGUGAGGGUCAACAAUUUGUUGUCAACACUAAAUAUACCAACAAUUGGAAAUAAAAACAUGAAAAGAAAUGGAGAGACAUGUUGGAAAUAUCAUUGAGACAGCACUGGCUUCUAUGCCGACAGAAUCUGCUGCAUAAGAUCAAGGAAAUGGAGGAUGUGCAUCAUGAAGAAUCAAUGGUAUCAGAACACAACAUCAUGGAAGAUCUUAUUGACAAGAUUUGGAGGAUGUCCUUUGCCAGAUGUUUGCCAGCACUAAAGUCUAUUCAUCAGUCAUAUGCUACAGUUACAAAUGACAGUGAAUGGUCAGAUUUAUACAAUUGUGAUUAACAAUCCUCAACAAUACAUCAAACAAAAAUGCCUAUUAAACUUUCUCACAGACAGUCAAAGGUUGAAAACAAAUCAGAAGUGGUCCACAUCUUAAAAAACCUCACAGCAGAUUAAGACUUUCCCCGAAAUUUCCCUGUAAAACCCGCAGUGGUAUGUCCAGUGCAGUAGAUACUGCCUGGCACAAAAGAGGAUUUGACAGUUUAACAUUGUACUGCACCAAUAAACUAAAUAUGGAGAGAAGCUUAGUCACCAAAGCAGUCAACACCAAAAUACACACAAUGGCCAGGGCACUGAAACUUGGAAGAGUGAAAGAGUAAAGUAGUGCGUUUUUAGCUAACAAAGUGACAUUGCGAGCUUUUGUCUAUCUUUCGUCCGUAAACUUGAUCUUUAAACAACAUCUCAUAAAUUGCCAAGCCAAUUUCAUGCAAACUUCGAUAUUGUCUAGUCAGUUUUUGUUUUGCUUGCAAUCGCUAUAUGACAUUAAGGCUCCCACGUUUACAAUUUUUUGUAAACGUUUACACGACUGCUAAGAACCGAAACGAUACCGUUUAAACGGUGGUACCUCUAUGUACUAUACACACCAUGUACUUGAGUCGCCAAAUGAUGUCUUUCUUUCUAUUUUUUAAUACAUGUACAAAUAAAGAAUGUGCAAGGCUCAUCACGAUUGAGUCAGCACACAUUUUUUGCAUUGUAACCCCAUUUUUUACCAAAAAUGUAUUAUGUCACGAGCAAUUUUGCACGGUAAUACUGUGUGGAGGGUUGUAAACACCCAUUUUCCGUUUGUUUACUUUGGAAUAAACCACUAGAAUUGAUAAAAUCCAUGAUUUCAGGCAAUGAUUAAGAAAUUUUGUAAGACAAUAUGGUCAUUUCGAUUAAACGGUAAACAAAAUCGUAAAUGUUUAUGAAUGAAAAUUGAAACGAAUCCGUUUAAACGUGUAAUCGUGGGGGCCUUAUAUGACAUGACUAAAGACAUUUAGUUUUAUUCUUAAGUUAUUAUGUUUAUGUUUGUAUAAGACCCAAAUAUAUUGUUAAGAUUCAUUUUUACAAAUUUGAAAGCCAUUAUUGUUCUAGUCAGUUUUUGUUUUGCUUGCAAUCAUUAUAUUACAUGGCUAAAGACAAUUAGUUUUAAUCUUUAAUAGUUAUGUCUAUAUUUGUAUAAGACCCAAAAAUAUUGUUAAGAUUCAUUUUUACAAUUUUGAAAGCCAUUAUUGCUCUAGUUUGUUUUUGUUUUGCUUGCAAUUGUUAUAUGACAUGACUAAAGACAUUUAGUUUAAAUCUUUAGUUAUUAUGUCUAUGAGGGGCGUCCGUGGCCGAGUGGUUAAGGUCAUUGACUUCAAACCACUUGCCCCUCACCGCUGUGGGUUGGAAUCCCGACAGGGACUUUGGAAUCUGUCUUGUGAGGAAGCUAUCCAGCUAGCUUAACUGAACGUCAGUGGUUCUACUCAGAUACCCGUUCGUGCCUAAAAUAAUGCAAGGAAGGGCACCUGAACGUCAUGAUAUGACCUUUACUGUGUUGAUGUGACGUAAAAACCCAAAACAAGCAAACAAAAAAUUAUGUCUAUGAAAUUCGUUGUUUGUAUAAGACCCAAAUAUAUUGUUGUGAUUAAUUUUAACAAUUUUGAAAGCCAUAAUUGUUCGUGUCAGAUAUUGUUUUGCUCACAAUCAUAAUGUUAUAUGACAUAUGAGUUUAAAUCUGAAGGUAUUAUGUCCAUGAAAUAUGUUGUUUGUUUAAGACCAAAAUAUAUUUUUGAGAUUCAUUUUUACAAUUUUGAAAGCCAUUAUUGGUCUAGUCUGUUUUUGCAUAACACAUAACGUUAUUGUUAGUAUUUAUUGUUAUUAAUAGUGAUUUGUCUAAGUGGAUGUCGAAGUAUGUAUGUUAAUCCAUGCCAGUUCAUGUUUGAAUGAAACUUUUUGUCCAGAUAGAAGAUUACAAACUGUAACUUUUCUGAUUUUUAUCUUUUACAACAAUAUUAUAUUUCCCAUUUAUGGUGCUAAGAAAUACUGCAACAUGUGCUGAAUAAUAGCUAUUGUCAAACAUUGUUUAUAUGCUCCCCGAAAAAUUUCGGCGGACCAUAUAGUCAUUGGGUUGUCUGUCCGUCUGUCUGUACGUACAUACGAACCUGAAUUCGUGUCCAGCCCAUAACUUUGUUAUUUCUAGUUGGAUUUUAAAACUAUUUCACAGAAAUGCUCACCAUAUUGAGACGACCUGUCGCCCGCAACAUUUGGGUCGCUACCUUGAAGGUCAAGGUCACACCAUGACCUUGAACAAAAUCAUGUCCUGCCCAUAACUUCGUUAUUUGAAGUCGGAUUUUAAAGCUAUUUAAAAGUAAUGAUCACCAUAUUGAGACGAUGUGUCGUGCGCAGCAUUUGGGUCGUUACCUUGAAGGUCAAGGUCACAGCAUGACCUUAAACAAAAAUUGUGCCGGCCCAUAACUUGGUUAUUUGAUGUCGGAUUUUACAACUAUUUCACAGAAAUGAUCACCAUAUUGAGACGAUGUGUCGCACACACCAUUUGGGUCAAUACCUUGAAGGUCAAGGUCGCAACAUGACAUUGAAGGAAAAUCGUGUCCGGCCCAUAAAUUCGUUAUUUGAAGUCGGAUUUUACAACUAUUUCACCGAAAUGAUCACCUUAUUGAGACGAUAUGUCACAUGCAACAUUUGGGUCAUUACCUUGAAGGUCUAGGUCACAGCAUGACCUUGAAGCAAAAAUGUGUACGGCCCAUAACGUCGUUAUUUAAAGUGGGAUUUUACAACUAUUUUGGAAUUAUCACACUUUGAACUUUGUCUGGGACAUAACCCUGAAACUUCAAAAAAUAUACUUUUCUGUAUCUAGGAUCACCCCGGUGCAACCGGCUCUUGUUUUAAUUGAUUAUUAAGUAAUAUGAACAAUUCAUGAUAGCAUCAUAACUAAAGAGUGGAAAUUUAUGAAAGUCAAAUAUGUAUAGAAUCAGUUGCUAAUAAAAUGUGUGUAAAAUUUAUCUCUUUUUGGGAAUUAAUUUCUUUAUUUUACAAAUUUAUCAAAUUUCAUUUUAUUCUACUGAUAUGUUUGUAAUAUUUCUUUAAUUUUCUAUUGAAAAAAUGUGUUAAACCAA